rfam:Schistosoma rodhaini strain Burundi genome assembly, scaffold: SROB_scaffold0002171
AUCCAGCUGACGUGUCCCAGAUAGAACGAAACGUGCAUCCUGGAU